rnacentral:tRNA from 1 species
GGGCCCUUAGCUCAGUCUGGUUAGAGCGCUCGGCUCAUAACCGGGUGGUCGCUGGUUCGAAUCCGGCAGGGCCCA